UGGGGGUUGCCAUAAAUGUCUCGCGACCGUUACCAAAUUUCAUCUCAUCGCGGCGCCACUUGUAUCUCUAAUCAGCUAUACUAGUUGGCAAUUUUGGCGGCAGUAGCCCAGUCUAAGCUCCAACCCUCGAACCGAACGGUCAUCCGAAACUAGCAAACGAGCAGUUAGCAAAACAGUAGAUCAACAAAAAUGGACGCAAGAUUCAGAAGCAAUCUCGAUAUGAUCGGGCGCAACGAACCAAUCACAAGAAAAGCCAGGUUCUGGCAAAGUUACGUACGAGCCUUAAAAGGUACAGACGACAUGAGGGCUCCAGAACACACUCACAGGCCCCGUGGUAUUUUCCGCUCCGAUUUCCCUGAACUGCAUUCCGCAUCAUGGCCGUACGGAAAAUCAAUUUUCGACGAUCCCGCUCACGCCGCUGACCGCAUCAAUGUUCCUGGUUAUAGGUACCUGCCAGUACAUCGUGAGAUCUAUGGCUACUCGCCGAGACAGAUUUACCCGCACCAAUACAAACCAGUAGAGCGCUUUGUCCCCGCGCAACCCUUCGACGCAGACAAGGCAUGGAAUGAUCAUCUAAAUCGUUUGGCUGAUAUUGACAGACUUUAUCCCAGCAAAUCACCUCUUUUGUCUCGUCAUACACCGAGCAUUCUUUCCCCGAAAAGACUUUUCGACAUUCACGGAAAUCUGCUGGACGAUAUUUUGCCAUCGUACUCAUCGUUGUUGAGAAAGAAACCAUUGUUCGAUAUUUUGGAACCCUCACCAAAUGCACCUAUCACUGCCUUCAAUAGGGAUCCAUGGUGGUAUCCCAGUUAUGCUCCUUAUAUUCCGAGAUAUGCACAAUGUGGGACCCCCUUCUUCCUGAGGGACAGCUAUCUUAGCCCUGUUAAGCGGAACUAUCUCUGGAGCCGACAUCCGCUCAGGCCUUUAGACCUGGAGGGCCUUUGGCUAGCCACUUUGUUUAAAUAGAGACGAUCACCACAAACAUACUACUAUUAUUCGCUGCCCGUACCACGAGUUCACUGUACCAGCCCCUGGUACAAUCGUAGACCCCUUUGAACAUACGUCCACUAGGGAGAUUUCUACGUCGUCCUUUUUGGAACACGCCACUCAUUAUCAAGAACGAAUUUAAAAAAAAGUGUAAAAAAAAAGAAAAAAAAUGACCAACUAUUUGCACCAUCCACAACCGUCUUUUCCUCGCAGUUACAGGUUGCUAACGGAAUUUUAUUUAUUAAUUAAUUGUUUCUUCAAUUGAAUACCUCACAUUGAUAUUUGAAAAUAAAAUCUGAAACAAAAUUUUA